rnacentral:rRNA from 1 species
UACGUCGGGGGCAAGCGUUGUCCGGAUUUAUUGGGCGUAAAGAGCGUGUAGGCGGCCAGACAGGUCCGUUGUGAAAACUCGAGGCUCAACCUCGAGACGCCGAUGGAAACCGUCUGGCUAGAGUCCGGAAGAGGAGAGUGGAAUUCCUGGUGUAGCGGUGAAAUGCGCAGAUAUCAGGAAGAACACCCGUGGCUAAGGCGGCUCUCUAGUACGGUACUGACGCUGAGACGCGAAAGCGUGGGGAGCGAACAGG